ACGGAUGGUGCAAGCGUUACUCGGAAUCACUGGGCGUAAAGCGUUCGUAGGUGGUUUGUUAAGUUGGAUGUGUAAUCCCACGGCUCAACCGUGGAACUGCGUUCAAAACUGAUGAACUAGAGAGCAGUAGGGGACAAGGGAACUUCAGGUGGAGCGGUGAAAUGCGUAGAUAUCUGAAGGAACACCGAUGGCGAAAGCACUUGUCUGGGCUGAUUCUGACACUGAGGAACGAAAGCUAGGGUAGCGAACGGG
rnacentral:rRNA from 1 species